rnacentral:rRNA from 1 species
UACGUAGGGUGCAAGCGUUGUCCGGAAUUAUUGGGCGUAAAGAGCUCGUAGGCGGUCUGUCGCGUCGGCUGUGAAGACCCGGAGCUCAACUCCGGGCCUGCAGUCGAUACGGGCAGACUGGAGUUCGGCAGGGGAGACUGGAAUUCCUGGUGUAGCGGUGAAAUGCGCAGAUAUCAGGAGGAACACCGGUGGCGAAGGCGGGUCUCUGGGCCGAUACUGACGCUGAGGAGCGAAAGCGUGGGGAGCGAACAGG